AGAGUUUGAUCAUGGCUCAGAUUGAACGCUGGCGGCAUGCCUAACACAUGCAAGUCGAACGGAAACGAUGCUAGCUUGCUAGCAGGCGUCGAGUGGCGGACGGGGGAGUAAUGCAUAGGAAUCUACCUAGUAGCGGGGGACAACCUGGUGAAAACCAGGAAUACCGCAUACGCCCUACGGGGGAAAGGAGGGGACUCUUCGGAGCCUUUCGCGAUUGGAUGUGCCCAAGUGGGAUUAGCUAGUUGGUGAGGUAAAGGCUCACCAAGGCGACGAUCCCUAGCUGGUUUGAGAGGAUGAUCAGCCACACUGGAACUGAGACACGGUCCAGACUCCUACGGGAGGCAGCAGUGGGGAAUAUUGCACAAUGGACGAAAGUCUGAUGCAGCCAUGCCGCGUGUAUGAAGAAGGCCUUCGGGUUGUAAAGUACUUUCAGCGAGGAGGAAAGGUUAGUCGUUCAUAACUGCUACCUGUGACGUUAGCAACAGAAGAAGGACCGGCUAACUCCGUGCCAGCAGCCGCGGUAAUACGGAGGGUCCGAGCGUUAAUCGGAAUUACUGGGCGUAAAGCGCACGCAGGCGGUUUGUUAAGCCAGAUGUGAAAGCCCCGGGCUCAACCUGGGAACUGCAUUCAAAACUGCCUAGCUAGAGUACGAUAGAGGGGGGUAGAAUUUCAGGUGUAGCGGUGAAAUGCGUAGAGAUCUGAAGGAAUACCAGUGGCGAAGGCGGCCCCCUGGAUUGAUACUGACACUGAGGUGCGAAAGCGUGGGUAGCAAACAGGAUUAGAUACCCUGGUAGUCCAUGCCGUAAACGAUGUCAACUAGCCGUUGGAAGACUUGAUCUUUUAGUGGCGCAGCUAACGCAAUAAGUUGACCGCCUGGGGAGUACGGCCGCAAGGUUAAAACUCAAAUGAAUUGACGGGGGCCCGCACAAGCGGUGGAGCAUGUGGUUUAAUUCGAAGCAACGCGAAGAACCUUACCCGCUCUUGACAUCCAGUGAACGAUUCAGAGAUGAAUUGGUGCCUUCGGGAACUGAGUGACAGGUGCUGCAUGGCUGACGUCAGCUCGUGUUGUGAAAUGUUGAGUUAAGUCCCGUAACGAGCGCAACCCUUGUCCUUAUUUGCCAGCACGUAAUGGUGGGAACUUUAAGGAGACUGCCGGUGACAAACCGGAGGAAGGUGGGGACGACGUCAAGUCAUCAUGGCCCUUACGACCUGGGCUACACACGUGCUACAAUGGCCGGUACAGAGGGUUGCAAAGCCGCGAGGUGGAGCCAAUACCAGAAAGCCGGUCGUAGUUCGGAUUGGAGUCUGCAACUCGACUCCAUGAAGCCGGAAUCGCUAGUAAUCGCGUAUCAGCUACGACGCGGUGAAUACGUUCCCGGGCCUUGUACACACCGCCCGUCACACCAUGGGAGUGGAUUGCACCAGAAGUAGGUAGCUUAACCUUCGGGAGAGCGCUUACCACGGUGUGGUUCAUGACUGGGGUGAAGUCGAAACAAGGUAACCGUA
rnacentral:rRNA from 1 species